CUUACAAGUUUCUAAUAAAAAUUUACCAUAAAAUCAUUUUAAUGUUUUAUUAAAAAACUGGCGUUUUCACAGUGUUACGUCUUAAAAAAUGUCUGUGUAAAUCAAAAUACUAAGGCACUUUAUGACAUGAAUAUUGUAACUUGAAAAAAAAAUCAAAACAAUAAUCAUUAUUCUACUUUCAAAAAUUAAACUGUCAGCAUGGUUGACAACCACUUUAUAUUUUGUAUAACAAUAAGCAUAAUUAUCUUAAGUAUUUAUACAAUGAGUCUGUAGUAUGUAUUUUUCAAUUUAAUUUUAAAAUAAUACAAAUAUAGUAAACAGAAUGUAAUACAAGGACCUGAAGUAAGAAGAAACUAUGUUAAAUACUUAAACAAAUAAUUUACUGUUCCAUUCAAUACUUACUUAUUUUUUCAAUUAUUAAAUGUAGGUAAUAACUAAUAUUUUUAAAUAAUAAAAUUUAUUAAAAUGAAGAAACACAUUCUUUAUUGUUCAGUGGAAACCAUAGACAAUACAAAUAUAUGGUUAUGUUAAUAAAAGUAUUUAUAUACCUAUAACCCAAGUUAAAAUUACAAUAAAUCAAAUCACAAAAUAAUUAUACGAAAUAAAUCAUUAUAUUGUGCAUAUUAUCAAAAAAUAGCACCAAAACUUGAUAAAAGUAUGUAGCAUUAGUAAGGCUUUAAAAAAUCAAUUUAAACUGCAACCAAAAAGGAUCACGUGGAGGUUGCCAACUCCCAUCUUAAAAAACUAGUUUUAAUAAUUUAUCAUUAUCUCAUUUUUUUCAUUUUUUUCUCUUAGGUUUGGAGGACUCCCCCUAUCCCGCUUACAGUAUAAAAUGUCAUGUGACUUGGAUAUGCUGCAUGAUAAAGUUUUUUUAAUAGGUUAAAGGUCGUUGGACAACCAUACUAUCUUAAAUCGUGCUUCAUACUCCUGUAAAUAUUUCAGAAACCAUUUAUAUUAUUCCGGAAUAUUAUGUUAAGUCAAAUUUUAGAUUCUGAGUGAAGCGAAGAAACUUAUAGUUUUAUAAAUAUUUUUUUUUAUCUAUGCACAACUUUUCUACCAGAAGACUUGCUUGGAUUUCAACAUGUAACACCUUUUCUAAAAGGAAAUCGGAGUCGAGAGAUAAUUUUUCGAUUUUCUCAAUGGUUUUCUCAUCAAAAUUGAAAACCGAAAAAAAACCGGGAAAAUUUACGAAAUAUAAUAAAUAUAAUUUACAAUAUUUUUUUCCUGUGGACAACUUUUCUACAAGCAAUUUUGCUCCAACUUUUAAUGAUAGCAAUGUUUCUAAAAGGAAAUUUCACUUAGAAGAUACUUCAACUUCAAAGAGGACGGAAUCGAUUUUCUCAAGAGUUUUCUCAUCAAAAAUGAAAAACCUAAAAAAAAGACGUCCUAAAAUAAUGGGGACAGGUGUAGCCACUGUUAACAAUAUUUAAUAAUAUUUAUUUAAUAUUGUAGAAAUUUUUCCCUUUAAUUGGAAAAACUUCUGGAAAAAUCGAAAAAUUCCCACCCUAAAGUACCUUUUCAGUCAGAUUUCAGUUCAGAAAAAGGGCUAUCAUUUUAAAUCGGAGCGAAAUUGCUAAUAGAAAAGUUGAACAUAGAAAAAGAAGCCAUAAUAUUUUUUUACUAAUAUAUACCUACAUUUAGUAUAUUUUCCGUUUUUCCGACAUUUUAACUGGGUUUUUCCCAGAUAUGAAAACUGCUUAAAAAAUCAAAAAAUGACUUCUAUAAAUUACCUUGGAUAUAAAAUUUCCUUUCCGAAAAUAAGCUACACUUGAUACAGAUGUUGAGCAAGAUUUCUGGUAGAAAAGUUUGCAUAACUAAUCGAGGGGUGUUUAAAAUAGUCCGAAGGAACGAUGGCUUGUACACAGCUAGGUACAUCCAAAAUGCAUUUGUUUUUUCCUUGUUUAGGUUAAAGGGAAAAAUAAUGCAAAACAUUUUUCUUCACACACUGGUCUGAACUCGGAACCCCUAAUAUGAUCAUAGGCAUAUGAAACCAUUAGAUCACGACAAAUAUGCUUUAAGAACAAUAUAGUUAUUUAACAUAACAUAUAAUAUCAGAGCUUCAAAAAGCUACAAUUUUCGAAACUUAAUCACUCUGCUUAAUUCUGACUUCACCAUCGUUCUUAAAUUGGCAAUAUACAUGUUUCAAAAAAAAAAAAUUAAAAGAAAAAUUAGAUUAGUUCCACAUAAUUUUUUCGUGAAAAUUUGAUAUUAAAAUUCCCUUAUAAAAAAAAAAAAAUACUGUUAAUACAGUCAAGGUGAUAUCGAUUGCGAAU